rnacentral:rRNA from 1 species
GACGAACGCUGGCGGCGUGCCUAACACAUGCAAGUCGAACGGAACUGUUUUGAAAGAUUUCUUCGGAAUGAAUUUGAUUUAGUUUAGUGGCGGACGGGUGAGUAGCGCGUGAGUAACCUGCCUUCAAGAGGGGGAUAACAUUCUGAAAAGAAUGCUAAUACCGCAUGACAUAUCGGAAUCACAUGAUUUUGAUAUCAAAGAUUUUAUCGCUUGAAGAUGGACUCGCGUCCGAUUGGUUAGUUGGUGAGGUAACGGCUCACCAAGACCGCGAUCGGUAGCCGGACUGAGAGGUUGAACGGCCACAUUGGGACUGAGACACGGCCCAGACUCCUACGGGAGGCAGCAGUGGGGGAUAUUGCGCAAUGGGGGCAACCCUGACGCAGCAACGCCGCGUGAAGGAUGAAGGUUUUCGGAUUGUAAACUUCUUUUAUUAAGGACGAAACUUGACGGUACUUAAUGAAUAAGCUCCGGCUA